rnacentral:lncRNA from 1 species
AAAUGUUUGUCUCUCCUCUCCUCUGGAUUGUGUUACUCUGUGGGACCCGGCUGUGGGUUCUGUGUGCCUGUGCAUCAUAUACAGCAAGACGCAGAGGCAAGGCCAGCUGGCUAGGCUUCUCCUAUCUAACUGCUUGUUGUCAUGUUUCCUCAAGCAACUGUCUUUGGGGAAACCAUUAAUGUUAAGUUCUCUGGGGAAAUGGAGAGGAAUCAGUUCCUCCCACCAGCUAUGGGAUAGACUUCCCAUGCCAGGAGGCAAGUCCAUACUUGGCAAAUCCACUAGCCUUAUUUCUCAACAUUCAUGAUUCUGACAGUUACCUAUUUUUAUUUCCUUUACUAGGUUUUGGGUGCUCUUUUGGUCCUACUGGGUUCUCCAGGGAGCAAAUCUCUUUAGGAUACUUACAUAUCUUUAUUAUCUGAUCUUUUUAAUCAAGAAGAGGUGACUCAUUCAGGGCAGUCUUGCUGCAAGAGUAGAGCGACUAUUAAAAGAAGAGGAGGGAUAUUGGAACUGAAGUUUUGAUGAUGAAGUUGGAUUGAGAGAGAGGCCACUAAUAGGUUAAGGAACUGAAUCUACAAUGUGGACUAAACACUGGCCGACUCCUGCCCCUGUGGAGCUUCCAUUCUAGUGGAGAGACGAGCAUAUUGAAAUAAUCACACGAACAUAAAACGGCGACCAUGAAAAGUGGUAUGGAAGGGAGGCCUUUGGGGACUCUGACAAGAGCAGUUUUCCAGUGCUCUCUAUAGAGCUGUGUGUAGAGCUGUAUUCCAGGUUUUGUGCCAAGACUGUCACAUGUACUAACUCACAUGACCCCCUACAUCAACCGUGUGAUGCAGGCACGAGUAUUCAGGCCAGUUUUGCAUGAAGAAGGAAGUUGACUCUUAGAUGUGCAAAAGUUGCAUAGAGAAUAAGUCAUGAAGUUUUGAACCUUCCAAGCUCUCUUCGGAUCCUGAGCUUCUAACUACCACCCAAGAACACGUGAGGCGGCCCAGUGUUCCGUUGGUUCGAAUCCUGGGCGCGGACAUGGCACUGCUCAUCAAACCACGCUGAGGCGGCAUCCCACAUGGCACAACUAGAAGGACCCACAACGAAGAAUAUACAUCUAUGUACCCGGGGACUUUGGGCAGAAGAAGGAAAAAAUAAAAUCUUUUAGAAAAAAAAAACCAUAGGGUG